rnacentral:misc_RNA from 1 species
GAUGAAGAACGUAGCGAAAUGCGAUAAGUAAUGUGAAUUGCAGAAUUCAGUGAAUCAUCGAAUCUUUGAACGCACAUUGCGCCCCCUGGUAUUCCGGGGGGCAUGCCUGUUCGAGCGUCAUUUCACCACUCAAGCCUCGCUUGGUAUUGGGCAACGCGGUCCGCCGCGUGCCUCAAAUCGACCGGCUGGGUCUUCUGUCCCCUAAGCGUUGUGGAAACUAUUCGCUAAAGGGUGCUCGGGAGGCUACGCCGUAAAACAAACCCAUUUCUAAGGUUGACCUCGGAUCAGGUAGGGAUACCCGCUGAACUCAAGCAUAUCAAUAAGCGGAGGA